CUAAAACAAAGCCAAGAUGCUGUCUCAUAUCCGGUUUCCUGCAAGUGCAUUAAGGACUCUAAUUUUGCUCACAAAACUACAGUGUUUAAAAAAUUGGAGGAUAUAUGGAAAUCCCACAAAGACAAAUUCAAUCAGUGCAUUGUCCAUCAUAG